UAAUCACGCAACAAUAUUUUGGAUUAUUAAAAAAUGGUUCUAAAUUGGGAUUGUUUCGAACAAUAUGAUUCUGCACAUUCUUAAAAGUAAAGUUAUUUUGGUUAGGCUUAAAACCUUAACAAAAACCCGAUCCUUCUUUGGAUCACAUUGGUCGUGGUUUCGUCUGUCUCUGUGUAAUAAUGGCUGCUGCUUGUCGUAAGCUGUUUAACAGAGCUUCUGUCUCUUCUCUCAAAUCUGCCCUCAGAUCCGCCACUGGAUCAUCGUCGCCUGCCUCAUCAGCUGGAUUUCGUAUACCUUCUCAACCCUCUCGCCAUUUCUCAUUCUCCAGGUGUCCAUCAGAACUGGGAUGUGUUCAGUCUUUGUUACCGCUGCACAGCACGGUGGCAGCAGCGAGGUUGACUUCGUGCCUAAGCACAACUUCAAGGAGUAGCCGAGCUCUCUCUCAGGGUACACUUUGCUGCACCUCUCCCGACCUCUAAUGCUUUUCUCUUUACUUUUCCUUAUGGAGUCGAUGGCACGUGAGAUGUGUUUGCAGUUUGUUUUAAAGAGCUUGGCCUUUCAGUUCCGAGGUGACUCUAAAACCGGCAUGAAGGUUUAAUUCCAUUGAAGGGGCAGGAUUUCAGAAGAGUUGUUUCUUCUUCCCUUUGUCAAAUUUAGAGACACAACAAGUGUCUGUCAUUCUUUUCUGUGACAAAUAAUUACAAAAUCUUAUGUACUUUGAUUUAUGAUGAGAGAAAUGUUAUACAAAUUGUCAGCUUUUGUUGCCUUUUUCAGUAAAUUAGUAGAACUUACUAUGUA